UUGUAUGUUCUUAUCCUACAAUUUCCUUCUUUUUUCUUUUUAACUGGACAAUGGACAUUUGUUUUGAGUUUUAGUCUAUUAUUAAUAAAGCUACUAUGAAUGAUCUUAUACAUGUUGUUUGGUGGAUAUAAGGACUCACUUCUUAUGGGUAUUAAUGGUCUUCUAAGUGGCUGCAACAACUUACAUUCCUGUCAGCAGGGUAUGUGGGUUUCAUCUGCUUCACACCCUCCCCAACACUUGUUAUCUGAAGAUCUUUAAUCUCAGUUUAGUGGGUGGGAAGUAUAUAUCAUGUCAUGCCUUCAUGAUGCCCAGUGAUGCUGAGCACAUGUGCCUGUAUUCAUUGGCCACUUUAAUAGCUUCUGUUCUGAGACAUCUGGCCCAUUUUUAAGUGGAGGGAUAUCUCUCCAUGUCCAGGAAGGAGGUUUGGAGGAUUGAAGAAACCAAGGUCUGGAGAAGCUGAACGUGCUCACAUCACACAACUUUCCUAGUCCAUUAGACUGCCAUCAUAGAAUACCAGGUCCAGGGUAGGAGAAUUGUACUUCUCACAUUUCUGGAAGCUGGGAGGGCUGGGAUCAAAAUACCAGCAGAUUCUGUCUGCUGAGGGGCCCCCUCCAGAUUCAGAGACAGCACCUUCUGUGUCCUCACAUGGAAGAAGCAAGGGAGCUCUCUGGGGUUUUUUAUAAGACCACUAAACCUGGGAUGCCUGGGUGGCUCAAUGAUUGAGCAUCUGCCUUUGGCUCAGGUCGUGAUCCAGAAGUCCCGGGAUCGAGUCCCACAUCAGGCUCCCUGCAUGGAGCCUGCUUCUCCUCCCUCUGCCUAUGUCUCUGCCUCUCUCUCUCUCAUGAAUAAAUAAAAGCUUUAAAAAAAAAAGAAAAGACCACUAAACCCAUUCAUGAAGCCUCCACCCUCAUGACCUAAUCAAUUCCCAAAGGCUCCAUCCAAUACCAUCACACUGAGGAUCAAGGUCUCAACAUAAGAAUUGGAGGAGUGGAGGGUCACAAACACUCAGUCUGUGGAAACAGCAAAGCAGGCACACACACACACACAGUCUUAAUCCUAGCACCUGAAUCUCUGAUAGUGAAUAUGGUCAAAUGUUGCCCCAUCUAUAUCCACAACUUAAUACACUUAUCAAGAAUCUAGGAAGCAGGUGUGAUACAAAGGACAAGAAAAAGAAGCUGGAUGGGUGAGGUGAGUGCUUCCAGAGGUCAUAUGUAACUCAAGUCCAAGUGAGAGGUGCUCAGGACCUGAAGGAAAAGGCUGUUGGGUGAACCCAAAGAGCUUGAUGAGGACAUAAGGAAACUGGAACCAUCAGAUACUGCUGGUGGAAAUAAAAACUGCUGUUGUCUCCUGAGUUUUCUCAAAAAGUUAAAGAUGGGUAGCCCUGGUGGCUCAGCGGUUUAGUGCCGCCUUUAGCCCAGGGUGUGAUCCUGGAGACCCGGGAUCGAGUCUCAAGUCAGGCUUCCUGCAUGGAGCCUGCUUCUCCCUCUACCUGUGUCUCUGCCUCUCUCUCUCUCUCUCUCUCUCUCUCUGUUUCUUUCAUGAAUAAAUAAAAUCUUUUAAAAAAAAGUUAAAGAUGAUAAUUACCACGUGACCCAGUAAUUCCAUUUGCAGAUACAUACUCCACAAAACUAAAAACCUAUGUUCCUAUAAAACUUUAGGCAUGAGGGACGCCUGGGUGGCUCAGCGGUUAGGUGUCUGCCUUUGGCCCAGGGCGUGAUCCUGGAGUCCUGGGAUUGAAUCCCACAUCAGGCUCCCUGCAUGGAGCCUGCUUCUGUCUCUGCCUCCUUCUCUUUCUGUGUCUCUCAUGAAUAAAUAAAUAAAAUCUUUUAAAAAUUUUUUAAAUUUAGGCAUGAAUGUUCAAAGCAGCAUUAUUCAUAAGACUGAAAAUGUGGAGGGGUGCCUGGGUGGGUCAGUUGGUUAAGUUCUGCCUUCAGCCCAGGUCAUGAUCUCAGGGUCCUGGGAUUGAGUCCCAGGUCAGGCUCCCUGCUCAGCAGGGAGUCUGCUUCUCCUUCUCACUCUGUCCCUCCUCCUUCCUCCUUCAUCCCUGCUCAUGCACACUCAUGCAGUCUCUCUCAAAUAAAUAAAAUCUUUAAAAAGAGAGAGAGAGAGCAAAAACGUAGAAAGAAACCAAAUAUUUACCAGUGUUUGAGAAGUGGAUAAAUUCUAUGCGGUAUAUCCAUUCUAUGGACUGUUUUUUCAGCCAGGACUGAACAAGCCUACAGAACAACUCGUCCUUCAGAGUGACUAACCAUAAUGUACAUAUGCAGCCAAGGAAAAUGAUGCCUGGAAAGACAUCAACAGGUCCUAGCCCAAGGAACUUGGACUACAUGCUGCACUGUCAUGGAAGGGUUUGAGGGCUUUAGGAUUCCUCUAAAACUAGUGGUCUUAAGUCAGCAAGAGAGAAACUUGGGGUGGGGGUGCCUGGAGGUGGGCAGGAAUCAGAGAUGCUUUCUGUAGGAAUUAAGAUGUGGGGAAAAAAAAAAAAAAA
rnacentral:lncRNA from 1 species